GACGAACGCUGGCGGCGCGCCUAACACAUGCAAGUCGAACGAGAGAUGAGGAGCUUGCUCUUCAAAUCGAGUGGCGAACGGGUGAGUAACGCGUGAGGAACCUGCCUCAAAGAGGGGGACAACAGUUGGAAACGACUGCUAAUACCGCAUAAGCCCACAGCUCGGCAUCGAGCAGAGGGAAAAGGAGUGAUCCGCUUUGAGAUGGCCUCGCGUCCGAUUAGCUAGUUGGUGAGGUAACGGCCCACCAAGGCGACGAUCGGUAGCCGGACUGAGAGGUUGAACGGCCACAUUGGGACUGAGACACGGCCCAGACUCCUACGGGAGGCAGCAGUGGGGAAUAUUGCACAAUGGGGGAAACCCUGAUGCAGCGACGCCGCGUGGAGGAAGAAGGUCUUCGGGAUUGGUAAAAUUCCGUGUUGUUGAGGUAAGAUAAUGACGGUACUCAACAAGGAAGUGACGGCUAACUACGUG
rnacentral:rRNA from 1 species